CUAUAUUUUAGGUUAAUAUAAUGUUCUCUAGUGUUAUAUAAUUAUGGAAUAAUGUGACACCAUUAGAUUAAACUAUACUCUAUAUUAGAUGCUCUAGAAUUCUUUGAAAUGGAAUUUAGAAGGCAUUUAGAGUGUCACCUAGGAUUUGAGGUUUUUUUUAAUUAAUACAAAAUUAAGGUUGUAAUUUUUCAAAUGCUUCUCAAUUAAUAUAUAGGGGAUAUAUAUAAGUCCAUCGUAUAUAUUCUUUCACUUUGAUAUUAUUUCACAACAAUAAUUAUUGUCUUGUUUUUACGUAUAGAUAUGUAAUGAUUUGUGCUUGCGUUUCACUCCAUACAUGAAUGAGAUUUUUUAUUGUCAAAUUAAGAAAAACUUAAAAGGGUAAAAUACAAACUCAUCUAAGAUCUUGAGAAUUUCUAGAGGAGAAUACAAACCCCAUUUAUAAAAAGACACAAACUGGUUCAUAACUUUGCUUGUAUUGCACUCCAAAACAGAAACCCUAAUCCAUGUCAAAGGAUUUGAUGAGCAUUUCCGUAGCAUCCGCUAAUGAACGGUGACUUCAUCAUGUUUGUAGCCAAGUCUGAUGAAUUCUGAGGAUAGAAUUUGUACAGCUUCAUGUUUUCAGAGGCAUGCUGGCCUAGUAGCGAGUCGUCUCAUUCUUUCUAUCGAUCUCCUAUCUCUAGCCGCUUGGUGAGCUACCUUUCCUACUCGAACACGCUCUUCGACAAGCUCUUUGAACUCGUCUUUUUAUUCCUCAGACAACCCUUCAAAUUUGAAAAUUGCGUCAGCAAACUCCUCAAACACGUAACCGGGGGGUCAGAGGGGAACAUUAUGUACACCUCAGUACUACUCUCUUCAAUAUCAUCUUCCUCCGAUUCAGAGAAAUAAGCAAGGCAAUACUCAAUCUUCUCAACACGUUCUUCCUUUUUGUUUCUGAGAGCUGCUCUCCGAUUGUUACAGAACAAAGUAAAGAUCCGAGAGCUUGUCUUCUCAACUUGUCUAUCUCUUUCUUCUAAUGGAAUGUAAGGAACCCAUCCCGUUCUCAUCGUAAUGGUUCCUUCUUCUGUUGCGCUCUGAAUGGAUCUCUUUAGAAGGCUCAGUGUUUGAUUCGAUGACAACAACCGUUGGGACAUUGACAAAAAAGUAUUCUUGAUCCUUGUCAAGACAGUGUUGAAGGUUCUGCAAACCCUAAAACAUAAACUUCUUCCCGUGGAGAAAACCCUCGUUCCUCCAAGGCUUCUUCUAGAUGUUUGAAGUCCCAGUUGAGUCCGCAGAGUGCAUCAGUUCCCACCGGAAACGCAGCUUUCCACAAAUAUUCUAGUUUCCUUGUUCGUGCCCCUCUUUCUCUUACCAUCACCACGACGAGCAGACAUCAUCUCGUCGUUUUGAAUCUCCUCCGCAAGCUCACCUUUGCGGCCUCUUACGAAUCUCCGACGAGCAGUCAGAUAAACGAAACCCUAACUCUUUCAGCAAGGAAGCGAGACAAUUGAAUGAUUUGUGUCGUUCCAUUAGCCAAUAUGUAUAGAACAUUGAAAUCGUACUGAGAAAAGGAAAGAUGAUUCCGUAAAAGAAGGAAAACUCAUAUCAUUUGAGUAUAUUUCCAUUUUCGGAAAGAAAAGACCCUACAAAUUGUUUGUUUGUUUUUUGCUUAUUUGGCUUAUUUUUUCAACGCAGCUAAGAAGAAAAUUAGGAUCUACUUAUCAUUGAUUAA